AUAGUAUAUUUGACAUCUUAUUUUGCUGGUGAGCUAUGUAAUUGACCCAAAAGGCACUUCAAGCGGGCAGGAAAGUCUAAGGCCCUUACUAAUUACUUCCAAGUAAGUAGAGCAAUCACCAUCACACAGAUUUAUUCAAGGUUUUUUUGUGUUAAGCCAAUUGUUCGUUUUCAUGUAAUUUUUGUCCACUAAUAUUUUAUUGAAUAAUUUGUGUGUCGUCGCAACGCACGAUCAUUGUACUAGUAGUAUUGAAUGCUCCAUUUGUAGUUCUUGUGAUAUUACAGUACUGCAGUCUAAAAUACUGAAACAUUGUACACUGUAAUACCCUGAAAGACUGGGCCAAUCAAUUUUGACUCUUCUUUACUUGGGCAUGUGUUUAUUCAAAAAAUUCUUGGUAGCUACGGUCUGAUUUGGACUCUAUAUUCUAUAGUUUAUAUUGGGAAGGAUUUCUUAAAUAGUCUACUAAUGAUUUGGUUUUUAAUUUGGUCAGGAGGGAGGUCCUAGAGGUAGCAAGCAGAUCGUGGUGGUACCUAUGGAUGAGCGCUAUAGCAAGAUCAAAAGUUCUUGUGGAUGGAUGUUAUUUUGUUUUGUAUUUCUCGAAAAGAGAAAUUUGCAAGUGAACUUAAAAUUGUGAAGCCACAUGUUCUCAUAUGUGGUUGUACUAGCUAGUAUCUCUGAGGUUUAACAAGUCAAACUUAGGGUUGUUGUCUGCUUAUUUUGAUCUUUAUUACGACAAGAGCAAACUUGUGACCUUUAU
rnacentral:lncRNA from 7 species